rnacentral:rRNA from 1 species
AUUGAACGCUGGCGGCAGGCCUAACACAUGCAAGUCGAGCGGUAGCACAGGGAGCUUGCUCCUGGGUGACGAGCGGCGGACGGGUGAGUAAUGUCUGGGAAACUGCCUGAUGGAGGGGGAUAACUACUGGAAACGGUAGCUAAUACCGCAUAACGUCGCAAGACCAAAGAGGGGGACCUUCGGGCCUCUUGCCAUCAGAUGGUGCCAGAUGGGAUUAGCUAGUAGGUGGGGUAACGGCCCACCUAGGCGACGAUCCCUAGCUGGUCUGAGAGGAUGAACAGCAACACUGGAAAUGAGACACGGUCCAGACUCCUACGGGAGGCAGCAGUGGGGAAUAUUGCACAAUGGGCGCAAGCCUGAUGCAGCCAUGCCGCGUGUAUGAAGAAGGCCUUCGGGUUGUAAAGUACUUUCAGCGGGGAGGAAGGUGUUGAGGUUAAUAACCUCAGCAAUUGACGUUACCCGCAGAAGAAGCACCGGCUAACUCCGUGCCAGCCGCCGCCGUAA